CUGAACAACAAACACAAACAAAGCAAAAUCAUUGCCACUAAAUCUACUCACACAAGCAUGAUGCAAACUGCCCUUCAAUAAUAUUAUCAUAACAGUUUGCAGAAUGCUUGUGCAUGCUUACAUCACUAAUAUUUACUUGUUUACUAAUAGUCAUGCAAUUAAUCAGAGGUCGGUACGUUCGUAAUUAUUUCGAAAUAUACUUCCAUGAGGAGAAAACAUAAUACACAUGCGAGCAAAGUAGGCAACAAGCCAUCAUUAAAUGCGUACUUUAAUCGCCUUCGUCGGACACAACGAGAACCGUCAACGCAAAACAUGUAAUACCCACGUCGACAGGGCACAAUCGUCAAAAAUGUUACAACAGUAAGAUUGUAAUGCUUUUGUUCUUACGGUUUGGCGUCUGCGGUCCUCCCAUCGGCGAAGAGACUUGUUUAUAGUUGCCAGGCAAGUAUUCACCGGAGUUUAUACGCUUGCACGCCAAGCUUUGCUUACAACGCAGCCAUGACGUGCGAUCGACGCGACGCCAGUGGAAUAUUUUUUAAAGUAGAAGCAGUUUAAAAAGUGCGACCAGGUCACAUCUUUGUUUAUAGUGGAUAACUUGAAUAGCAACACUUGAAAUUAUCCUGGUUAAAUUUGAUGCUAAAUAAUUUAUGCUUGUGCAAUUUGCUUGACUGCAUAAAAUUACUGCGCCAGUGCGGUGUGCUAAUAAGUUUAAA